rnacentral:rRNA from 1 species
CCUACGGGGUGCAGCAGUGAGGAAUAUUGGUCAAUGGGCGUAAGCCUGAACCAGCCAAGUCGCGUGAGGGAUGAAGGUUCUAUGGAUCGUAAACCUCUUUUAUAAGGGAAUAAAGUGUGGGACGUGUCCUGUUUUGUAUGUACCUUAUGAAUAAGGAUCGGCUAACUCCGUGCCAGCAGCCGCGGUAAUACGGAGGAUCCGCGCGUUAUCCGGAUUUAUUGGGUUUAAGGGGUGCGUAGGCGGCCUUUUAAGUCAGCGGUGAAAGUCUGUGGCUCAACCAUAGAAUUGCCGUUGAAACUGGGAGGCUUGAGUAUGUUUGAGGCAGGCGGAAUGCGUGGGGUAGCGGUGAAAUGCUUAGAUAUCACGCAGAACCCCGAUUGCGAAGGCAGCCUGCCAAGCCAUGACUGACGCUGAUGCACGAAAGCGUGGGGAUCAAACAGGAUUAGAUACCCGAGUAGUC